rnacentral:rRNA from 1 species
UAGUCCACGCCGUAAACGAUGAGAGCUAGAUGUCGGGAGGGUUCAGCUUCUCGGUGUCGCAGCUAACGCAUUAAGUUCUCCGCCUGGGGAGUACGCCGGCAACGGUAAAACUCAAAGGAAUUGACGGGGACCCGCACAAGCGGUGGAGCAUGUGGUUUAAUUCGAUGCAACGCGAAGAACCUUACCUGCCCUUGACAUACUCGGAACUUUCCAGAGAUGGAUUGGUGCCUUCGGGAACCGAGAUACAGGUGCUGCAUGGCUGUCGUCAGCUCGUGUCGUGAGAUGUUGGGUUAAGUCCCGCAACGAGCGCAACCCUUGUCCCUAGUUGCCAGCGGUUCGGCCGGGAACUCCAGGGAGACCGCCAGCGACAAGCUGGGAGGAAGGUGGGGACGACGUCAAGUCAUCAUGGCCCUUAUGGGGCAGGGGCUACACACGUGCUACAAUGGGCCGGUACAGACGGUUGCUAACCCGCAAGGGGGAGCCAAUCCGAGAAAGCCGGGUCGUAGUCCGGGAUCGGGGGUCUGGCAAC